rnacentral:rRNA from 1 species
AUGCGUUCAGCUCCCCACCUCCACCUCGCGGUCUGGGCCCUUCUCCUCCUGCACUUCGCAGCCUUCGUCCCGGAAGCCAGAGCACAGCAGGAAAUCGACGAUGAGUCGGAGUUCAGCUACGACAGCAGGUCCGAGAACGGGCCGGAGAACUGGGGCAAGAUCAAGGAGGAGUGGGUGACGUGCGCCACCGGGCGGGUGCAGUCCCCCAUCGACCUCUCUGACCGCCAUGCCGCACAGGCGCCCAACCUCGGGUACCUCCACCACUCCUACCGCCCUGCCGAGGCCUCCAUCGUCAACCGUGGCCACGACAUCACGGUGACAUUCCAGCGCGACGCCGGGAGCUUGUGGAUCAACGGCACUGCUUACCACCUCAGGCAGGUGCACUGGCACUCCCCCAGCGAGCACCACCUAAACGGCCGCCAGUACAGCCUGGAGCUCCACAUGGUUCACCUCAGCGCCGAGAACAAGGCUGCCGUGAUCGGCCGCCUCUAUAAGAUCGGUAGGCGCGACCAUUUCCUGCACGAGCUAGAGCCUUACCUGCGGAGGAUGGCAGGCAUGAAGGAGAAGGAGGAGAAGGUUGGCGUGGUGGAUCCCUGGGAGGCGAGGGGCGAUGGUGAAGCCUACUACCGGUACAUGGGCUCCCUCACCACGCCGGCGUGUGACGAGGGGGUCAUCUGGACCGUCAUCAAGAGGGUUGCUACCGUGUCGACUCACCAAUUGAAGCUUCUCACGGACGCUGUCCACGAUGGCUUUGAGAUGAACGCGAGACCCCUUCAGAAGUUGAAUGGCAGAUAUAUCAGCUUUUUCUGCCCUCAUGAUGACCAUGAACGCUAUUACGCUGCUGCUGAUCAUUAA